AACCAGUUGUAAACUAUAGCAAGCAAUCCUCGGCUGGGCUUCGGCUCGGUCGGGGUAACAUGGAUAACCCUGGUAAUUCUGAGGCUAAUACAAGAACGUACUCCCUGGCUGACCGGCAACGGAAGGCUGGGGGACGUGCAAUAGUUUUCGUAAGAUGAACCGGGAAAGGGUGCACGUUCGGACCGCGCUAAAGACGAAUCUCGGUGAGCCCGCAAGGGUGAGCCUUGGCUCGAGCGGCUCUUGCGGUGUGCUUCUGACCUAUCAACUAGAUGGCAGCGUAAGGGACAUGCUAUGGUUACAACGGGUACAGAGGAUUAGGGUUCGAUCCUGGAGAGUGGGCCUGAGAGAUU
rnacentral:rRNA from 1 species